GUUGUGUUCAAGUAAGCCUCAUUUUGAAUCCUUCCUGCUCUGUUUUUGAGUCAAAACACUGUUGGAUGGAGAAAACUGUUGGGCUGUGCUGAACAGAUCACCAAACCAUCUGAGAAGAAAUGUGUGGAGAUCCAACACCAUAGAUGUCCAUCAUGUAUAAAGAUGUCCACAGUGUUGUAGGACUCAGCUGGCUUAGUCGGAGGCCACAGCGUUCAUCAGCGACGGCCAUGUUUGAGUAACACGAGUUUCUUGAGCCCAUUUUCCUCACCUCUUCUGUCAAGGCUUCAUUCUCAUGCAGAGUGAUCGUUAUGAAGGGGGCUAAAUUACCCAAAAUCCCACUGUGUUACCAUAUGCUUAACCCAUUUUGUCAGAAGCUCACACUGAGGAGCAGUCUGCUGCUAACUGUGUGAGAUCAAAGGCAAAAAGUCCCGCAGAUAAAAGUCGAUUAGUGCAGAGAAAGAGACGGACGACAGCUGAGCUUUGUUUUGUCAGAAGCCCAGAUUUUGCAUAAAGUGGAGAAAAUGGUGUGAAAUAAUUCUAUUUCUUAUCCACCUUAUACUUCAAAGUCAGAUUUUUCUCCCUUCUAUCUGAGUAGUAUCAAAGUAAUUAACAUUACUGAAACAAAUCUCAAAGCCUGACAGAGCAUCCCUGCAUCUCCAUGGAGCUUUGGUUGCACUAGCUCUCUAUAAUUUGCUAAUAAGCUUCUACCAAUUUGAAAAAUGAACUUGACA